ACCAAUCCCCUGAGCCCUAUGCAAACCAGACACUGCCUUCUCCAGCUUCCGGAUAUAAUGGACUGCCUUUCCGCUGCACACAGGGUUCCUCUUUGUUCUGAGCCCCUGUCCCUCUGUCUCUGUUUUCUUCUGUCUUUCUUCUUUCUUGCCUGUUAAACUUUUUACUUCUUAACGACCACUCCACAUGUGUCUGUGUCAUUACUCCUAAUGGCACAAAACUAAGGACUCUGGUGUUCCUGCAGUCAUGGAAGCUGCAUCACUAUUAGAAGUUGAUAUGGGAAAUGAAGUACCUCUGACUCCUUGAAAUAAAUUACAACCCUAGAGACUUUAGAAGACUGUCUAGGUUCCAGUUUUGUUAACCAGAAAAUAAGAAUGGCUUUGCCCACUAAUCAACAUCUCUUGACAAGAAGUGAGAAAACAAACUCAGAAGCAAUUUCCUUUAUCCCUGGGCUGUGCAAUGCUGAUUUUGGAAGACAUGUUACAUUCUACGUGGAUAUAGAAAUUAUUUGAGAAAGAGUCUAUUUUCCAUAACUGGUAUUAACAUGCUAACCGUUGUAAUUUUGCAGUUUCUUUUGUCCUGAAAUACUUUGUGUGAGUGUAUUUGUGUGUGUGUGUGUGUGUAUGUGUGUGUGUCUGUGUGUAUUUGAUGAGCAAAUCUUUCUGAGGUCUGACUUCCUUGCAAAGUAACCCUUUAGCAAGUGCAUUUUGUCUUGUUCUAGUGCUUUUGUCAUUGAAUCUUGCUUUCAUAUGGGUAAGUUUAGAUAUAGGUAUUCUGAUAUGAAACAUGAGGUCUUGGGAUCGGAAGACUGUCUGUUUAUUACUUACAGCACAUCUUAGCACUGGUUCUCCUUGCUCCAUUUCCCACAGGACAAUAAGGUAAAAACAUGAUGUUAUCUCAUGCAUGCAGUGGGAUUGUGCUGCAGGAGAAUGAUGAUGGAAUUAUGAGACUUGGAGCAUAAGCAGGGUGGUUGGCACAUUGAUCCAUCCUCCCCUCUAGGGAGAGAGAAACACUAGCAUAUAAACAAAUCUCUGUGGAGGGGGGAAGGCUCUCUGGCUUCCUUACCCUGUGUUGUAAACAGACGGGUGGGAAAAAGUCUGUAACUCUCUUCAGAAAAAAAAAAAAAAAAAAAAAAAAAAAACGCUAUUGUUCCUGAACCAAACUGUGUGUCGGGCUGCUUGUUCUCUUGGCCCAAUAACAACAUGCAGAUGAACUGAGAAAGAAUAGAGUUUUUAUUUCUGUAACCAGGUACAAGGAGAAGGCCUGGAAAAUAACUCCACACAAACUCAAAGUUACUAAGUUUUCCAGAGCUUAUAUACCUUCUAAGCUAUGUGUUUAUGUGUAAGUGUGAAUUCAUCUAAAGACUUAAGUGAUUAACUUCUUUUAAUCUAUAACUAAGAUCUGAGUCCUCAAUACCUUCCUCUGAAUCCUCAGUAAAUUUACUUAAUUUAAAUGGGUACAGGUGCUGGGGUGAUUACUUUUAUCUUGUCUCCUGCUAAAUCAUGGAGGUUUGAGGAGUUCCUUCAGACCCCCAAUAAACUUGUUUGUGGAGGUCUAUGGAGUUUCUUCGGACCCCCAAUAAAAUUUGUUGAAUCCUAAGCUGGUCCUAUUAAGAACUUCUUCAUUAUCUUGUCAUGAUUUAAGGCCCAGGAAAGUCCUAGGCAAAACUCUUGGUGGGCUUUUGUUAUAUUCCAGUCCUU
rnacentral:lncRNA from 10 species